GACGAACGCUGGCGGCGUGCUUAACACAUGCAAGUCGAACGGAAAGGCCCUGCUUUUGUGGGGUGCUCGAGUGGCGAACGGGUGAGUAACACGUGAGUAACCUGCCCUUGACUUUGGGAUAACUUCAGGAAACUGGGGCUAAUAACGGAUAGGAGCUCCUGCUGCAUGGUGGGGGUUGGAAAGGUUCGGCGGUUGGGGAUGGACUCGCGGCUUAUCAGCUUGUUGGUGGGGUAGUGGCUUACCAAGGCUUUGACGGGUGGCCGGCCUGAGAGGGUGACCGGCCACAUUGGGACUGGGAUACGGCCCAGACUCCUACGGGAGGAAGCAGUGGGGAAUAUUGCACAAUGGGCGGAAGCCUGAUGCAGCAACGCCGCGUGCGGGAUGACGGCCUUCGGGUUGUAAACCGCUUUCGCCUGUGACGAAGCGUGAGUGACGGUAAUGGGUAAAGAAGCACCGGCUAACUACGUG
rnacentral:rRNA from 1 species